rnacentral:ncRNA from 1 species
GUCGGCCCUUGAAAAUCCGAGCGAGGCAGUAUAAUUUUCGUGGCAGGCCGUACCCAUAUCCGCAGCAGGUCUCCAAGGUGAACAGCCUCUGGCAACUGAACAAUGCAGGUAAGGAAAGUCGGCAAAUCGGAUCCGUAACUUCGGGAGAAGGAUUGGCUCUGGGGGCCGAGUCAGACAGGCCGAGAUCAGAUACGUGUCGGUCCAGUUGGGGGCUGGUUUCUUUGCUGCUUUGUGUGCUUCGGUGUGUGUUAUGGUGAGGUUACUGGACUCUGACCCGGGUCGAUCGUGGGCGGUUUCAGCUGUUAGUGUCGUGCAGCUAGCAACGCGCGAGGACUUGUUCCACGUUGCGUCAAGCGGCUGUACUUCCAUGGUCUGGCGCGCGACGGCUAACUCAGAACUGGCCCGGCCCAGGGGAAUCCGACUGUCUAAUUAAAACAAAGCAUUGCGAUGUCCACUGAUUGGUUUUGACUCAAUGUGAUUUCUGCCCAGUGCUCUGAAUGUCAAAGGGAAGAAAUUCAACCGAGCGCGGGUAAACGGCGGGAGUAACUAUGACUCUCUUAAGGUAGUCUAUGUU